CAUUAAGUGGCUGAAAUUUCCAAGCAUUGGUCUCUUAAACCAAAAUAUAGUAUAGUUAAGAAUACUCUUAAUGA
rnacentral:tRNA from 1 species